rnacentral:rRNA from 1 species
CCUACGGGGGGCAGCAGUGGGGAAUAUUGGACAAUGGGCGCAAGCCUGAUCCAGCCAUGCCGCGUGUGUGAAGAAGGCCUUCGGGUUGUAAAGCACUUUUGUGAAAAGACCGGUACCGGAAGAAUAAGCACCGGCUAACUUCGUGCCAGCAGCCGCGGUAAUACGAAGGGUGCAAGCGUUACUCGGAAUUACUGGGCGUAAAGCGUGCGUAGGUGGUUCGUUAAGUCUGAUGUGAAAGCCCUGGGCUCAACCUGGGAAUGGCAUUGGAUACUGGCGACCUAGAGUGCGGUAGAGGGGUGUGGAAUUCCCGGUGUAGCAGUGAAAUGCGUAGAUAUCGGGAGGAACAUCUGUGGCGAAGGCGACACCCUGGACCAGACUGACACUGAGGCACGAAAGCGUGGGGAGCAAACAGGAUUAGAUACCCUUGUAGUC